GGAAAAGUAGUAAAUAUGGGCAACCCAUGGAUGGCUGGCCUAUUGAUUUAGUGGGAGUCAACAGACUUAAAGUUUCGAAAUGAGAAACUCCCCACAGAUAAAAAUCCAAGUUGAAAAGGAUCCGAACUGAUUCAUCUAAGUAGGAUCUAAUUUACCUUAAUUGGUAAAUAAACAAAUCAAAAUGAGAAUCACUUUAGUAGUGGCGAACGAACAAGUUAUUUGUUAGCCAAUCAUCAUAGAAGGAAUAAUCUAAAUCCUGUAUGGCUAAUUUGGUAUAGAGUAGAACCUAUUAAAAAGGUUUGAAGAACGAGAGAGAUCUCGAAACCAAAAGAAAAAUCAAUAGGCGAGAGCGAAAAGUACCGUGAGGGAAAGCUGAGAUAGGUCCAUUAAAAAUGGCAAUAAUCUGAGAUAAAAUAUCCUGAAAUGGGUUGUCGGCAGCGUAAGCUUUAUAUUGAAGCAAACGUUUACCUUUUGCAUAAGGGGCCUGCAACUUUAUUCUUCUAGUAAGCUCCCUUUGAGGGAAGCCUAGUGAAUGCGAAGCCUAAUAGGCUGUAAAAUUAGAAGAAUAAGGCCCGAAACCAGAUGAUCUAGACGAGGCCAGGUUAAGAUAAAUAAAAUAAAAUAUUUUGCUUUUUAUUAUCCUGCUAUUCUAGCAGGAAGAGGCAAGCUUAGGCUAGCCUUUGUGACACUACUAAAUAGUGUCACAAUAAAUACAAAUAAUUUUGAAUUAAGGACCGAACUGGUGACUGUUGCAAUAGUCUCAGAAGAGCUUCGUCUUGGAGUGAAAGACUAACCGUAUCUGGAGAUAGCUGGUCUACCACGAAAGCUAUUGAAGUAGCAUUAUCUUUCAUAAUUCCUUUUAGGUGGAUUAAAGGUCUGCUUGACUGACUUAACUCCCAAUGAGAAGGAAUAAAGAAGAUAGGACUGACCCUGGGGGAUAAGCUUCAGGGUCUAACAGGAAAGAGCCUAAUACUAUUAAUAAGGUCUCAAAUAAAGGUUGAUUGGUAUUGAGGAAGUUCAAGGGUAUAGUUUACCACUGGGUGAGCAUGGAAGUUGCUAUCCCUAAGAGAACGUGUAACAACGCAAAGGUCGAUCGUACUAGCUUCGGCUAGUCAACCCCGAGCAUCAUAAAUUAACGAGCCUAAACCUUUGACCGAUUUAUAGUUUUUAUUCUCUAAGAUAUUAAAUCUUAGAAAAGGUAAGCCUUAGCUUACCUUUCUGACUCUUAAGAGUCAGGUAUAUUAGGUAGUGGUACAUGCCAUAUAUUGGCAGAGAGAAUGCAGGUGUGAGUAUGUAUUAAUGAAGUGAAAAAUCUUCAUGGUCUGAUAUCCAAGGUUUUCGAUGAGAAGUUCAGCUUCGUCGAGUUAAACGGCUCCUAACCAAUACUUGUAUUUGGAAUGGAAUUAAGGUUAAUUUUUUAUGGCACCAUAGGUGCCCUAGUCAUCUGAGAUUCUCUUUUGGAGAAUCUCAGUAGCCUUGCAAGGCUACUGGGGUCUGGCUAUGCCAGACCCCAGAGGCUAGGCUAGCUAGUAAUAGCUAGCUGGGAAUUGUUCCACCCCUAAGGGAUGGAAAAUAAGCUAGUAAUAGCUUAUAACCGGACUCUGGUAACCUUUCAGGUUACCAGUAGCUCUGGUUGAGAAUCACUUUGUGAUUCUCAAAAAGCUAUGCAUAGCUACUGGGAUCAAAGAUCCCAGUGGACCCAAAGGGUCCAGAGGUCCUAGAUAAUUAACUAAAUAACCGUACUGGAAACCGACACAGGUGGAUAGAUCGAGUAGAUCAAGACUUAGGGAGAACCAUUCAGAAGGAACUCGGCAAAAUGACUCCGUAACUUCGGAAUAAGGGGUACAACCUCUAAACCAGUAAUGGCUUUAGAGGGAUGUGACACAAAAUCGGGAGGUGGAACUGUUUACUUAAAACUUCACUCUCUGCAAUCUGAAAAAGAUAGUAUAGGGAGUAACUUCUGCCCGGUGCCAAUACGUGAAAAUCGCCAUUCCUCGUUGAAUGGGAGAUAAACUUUGGUAAACGGCGGUCUUAACCAUAAGGAUCCAAAGGUAGCGAAAUUCCUCGGCUAUUAAUUGUAGUCCCGCAUGAAUGAAGUAAUCACACCUCUACUGUCUCCUGAAUGGACCCUACGAAAUCACAUUGGUUGUGCAGAUGCAACCAUAUCCUAGAGUGACGGAAAGACCCUAUGCAGCUUUACUGUUAUCUAAUAAAUACCUCUGAUAUUAUUGGAGUUGUAAUACAUCUUCAAAAUCAGAAUAAUUGUUUGAGAGACAGUUUGAUUGGGGUGAUCGCCUUCUAAAAAGUAACGAAGGUGUGCAAAGGUAGGCCUUACGCAUAAUGGCUUAUGCCUGCUUGACUGUAAGAAUCACAAUUCGAACAGAGAGGAUUUUAAAUAGUGAGGAUAAUCGUAAGAUUAUCCGUUAUUUAUUUAAUUUCACUCAGCCAUAGUGACCCGGUAACAUUAGUUACCGAUCAACGAAUAAAAGUUACGCUAGGGAUAACAGCUUAGUCCUAAGUUAGAGUUCAAAUCGACCUUAGGGUUCGGGACCUCGAUGUCGACUCUUCCCAACCUGGUUGAGCAGGAGCUUCCAAGGGUGCAAUUGUUCAUUGCAUAAAGGGGAACGUGAGUUGGGUUAACAACGUCGUGAGACAGUUGGGAUCCUAUCUUCUAGGAUAAUCAAUAGCAAAAGAGCCCUACCUUCGUACGAGAGGAUCAGGGAGGUAAAACCACUAGUACUCCAGUUCUUUAUUAGUGCUGGGUAGCUACGUUUUGAAUAGAGAACCGCUGAAACCAUCUGAAGCGGGAAACUUUUCUUUUCUAUUGGCGUGUCAGGUAGAAUACCUGAAGAGGCUUAAAUAUAAUUACCGUAAGGUAUUGAGUUUAUUCUCUUGUAACACUGUAUACUACUUUUCC
rnacentral:rRNA from 1 species